UGCCAGCAGCCGCGGUAAUACGUAGGGGGCAAGCGUUGUCCGGAAUCAUUGGGCGUAAAGCGCGUGUAGGCGGCCCGAUAAGUCCGCUGUGAAAGUCCAGGGCUCAACCCUGGAAUGCCGGUGGAUACUGUCGGGCUCGAGUCCGGAAGAGGCGAGUGGAAUUCCUGGUGUAGCGGUGAAAUGCGCAGAUAUCAGGAGGAACACCAAUGGCGAAGGCAGCUCGCUGGGACGGUACUGACGCUGAGACGCGAAAGCGUGGGGAGCAAACAGGAUUAGAUA
rnacentral:rRNA from 1 species